UUGAACGCUGGCGGCAGGCCUAACACAUGCAAGUCGAACGGUAACAGGAAACAGCUUGCUGUUUCGCUGACGAGUGGCGGACGGGUGAGUAAUGUCUGGGAAACUGCCUGAUGGAGGGGGAUAACUGCUGGAAACGGUAGCUAAUACCGCAUAACGUCGCAAGACCAAAGAGGGGGACCCUCGGGCCUCUUGCCAUCGGAUGUGCCCAGAUGGGAUUAGCUUGUUGGUGGGGUAACGGCUCACCAAGGCGACGAUCCCUAGCUGGUCUGAGAGGAUGACCAGCCACACUGGAACUGAGACACGGUCCAGACUCCUACGGGAGGCAGCAGUGGGGAAUAUUGCACAAUGGGCGCAAGCCUGAUGCAGCCAUGCCGCGUGUAUGAAGAAGGCCUUCGGGUUGUAAAGUACUUUCAGCGGGGAGGAAGGGAGUAAAGUUAAUACCUUUGCUCAUUGACGUUACCCGCAGAAGAAGCACCGGCUAACUCCGUG
rnacentral:rRNA from 1 species